AUGGGGAGCGUGGGUGACCUGGCCAACUACGCGCAGCUCACGGGGCUGGACGCGGUGCGCCUCAUCGGCCUCAUCGUCAAGGCGGCGGCCACGGCGCGGAUGCACAAGAGCAACUGCCGCCGCUUCGCGCAGCACCUCAAGCUCAUCGGCGGCCUGCUGGAGCAGCUCCGGGUGUCGGAGCUCAAGAAGUACCCGGAGACGCGGGAGCCGCUGGAGCAGCUCGAGGACGCGCUCCGCCGGGGCUACCUGCUCGUCAACUCCUGCCAGGACCGCUCCUACCUCUACCUCCUCGCCAUGGGCUGGAACAUCGUCUACCGGUUCCGCACCGCGCAGACCGAGAUCGACAACUACCUCCGCCUCGUGCCGCUCAUCACGCUCGUCGACAACGCCCGCGUGCGGGAGCGAAUUGAGUACAUUGAAAGGGAUCAAUGUGAAUACUCUCUUGACGAGGAAGACAAAGAGGUCCAUGAAGCUCUGUUAAACCCUGACCCUAGCACAAAUCCUUCGAUAGUGCUCAAGAAGACUCUGUCCUGUUCUUAUCCAAACUUGCCAUUUAACGAAGCCCUUCGAAAGGAAAGUGAGAAGCUCCAGGUGGAGCUUCAAAGAUCACAAAGCAACAUGGAUAUGGCCCAGUGCGAGGUUAUUCAUCACCUGCUUGGAGUUACUAGAACCGUGGAAAGUUCUAUUCCAGACGAAAGUACCGAUGCCAAGGUUGCCAAGAAAACCAAGUCAAAGUGCACAAAAGUUAAUGAAGACAGUGCAAAAUCAUAUGAUGAUGACUCUCCAAAGAAGCAAAAAGAUGCCUAUGUUGCACCGCGGAGUUCUUCACCUGUUCCCUACAACCAUGAUCUGGUCUCGAGUACAGCAUCAUACAGUGAUGAGUGGCAUGCAGAUUUACUUGGUUGCUGUUCAGAGCCAGCUCUGUGUCUGAAGACCUUCUUUUUUCCAUGUGGAACGUUCUCAAGAAUUGCUUCAAUCGCCAAGAACAAGCCCAUGUCUUCCGGAGAAGCCUGCAAUGAUAUUAUGGCGUACUCCCUCAUAUUGUCUUGUUGCUGUUACACUUGCUGUGUAAGGAGAAAGCUUCGUCAAAGGCUAAAUAUUGCGGGAGGGUGUUGUGACGAUUUCCUUUCACAUGUAAUGUGCUGUUGCUGUGCUCUUGUUCAAGAAUGGCGCGAAGUAGAGAUUCGUGGUGCAUACGGAGGGAAGACAAAGAUAACCCCGCCGGCACACCAGUACAUGGAGCACUGA
rnacentral:rRNA from 1 species